CCUGCUACAGGCUUGCCUGCUGAUCACUGGACCACAGCUGACCCUGGUCAUUGCCACUGGAACUGCUCCGCCCUACUUGUUGAGAGAAGGCUGCUCCUGCUGCUUCCUGACACAUGGACAGCCAGGUGCAGGAAUAAGAAGGGAAGAGGAGGAAGUGCAGCAUGCUUGAGGUUCACCCAAAUCAAGAGCUGGACAUUGCUGGUCAAAGAGCUCAGAAGUACUCUUGGCUCUGACAAUUUAGUCAUUCUCAGAAUCAGCUAAACAAAGAUGCAGCUGGGUAGGUUUGCAGCCUACAAAUUAAGACUGAUUGUUACUGACGAAUAAAAUCCUGCAGUGGGAGAAGGCUUAGAGGAGAUGGGCAAGGAGAUGUGCCCAUGAAGCUCAGGAAACAAUGCAGGGUGUGACUGACCACAGCUUUUGCGAAGAAGCUGGCUUACCUCAACACCAAGGGGACCAGGCAGUGGCCUUUGUUUUAGUCUUUUCUCAGGUCAACAUGCUUCUGUGCCAGAUUCCUCAGCAACUGAUGAGAAUGCCUUGCUAAGGAUAGUAUGAUGAGAAGCCUUUGUAAAAAGAGAUAUGACUAUAUGUAGAUUAUUAUUUUCUAAGAUAAACCACGUGUUGUGGUCAGAAGAAAGGAUAUGGUUUAACCAGGUAGUUUAACUUCAUUGCUUUGCUUUUGCAAGACUGAAUAAAUUCUAUCAAUGUCAAUACUGUUUGUAUAGAGACUCAUAGCCACUGGAGAGAACGAAGAGAGCACCUGCCAAUAAAGUUCUCAUUAAUGUGCAGGUAAAUAAAAUUACUUCAUGUAAAACCCUCUUCUAUGAUUUUUAAUAAUAGCCUUGCCAUUAGGAAAGUCACUGUCCUAGUGCUUUUAUCAAAGUUAAAGCAGAAGUUCAGCCAUUCUGCAUUUUUCAAGAAUUACCUCAAAGCAGAUAAAAAUUAGCAUUGUUUGGCUUCUCCUCCUGUAGUUGAGAUCCUGUGAGCAGCAAGAGAGAUUUUAUUAGAAGUAUUAUAGGUGAGGGAAGCCGCAGUUUGAGCGAGCUGUAGGGCAGCUGCAGAAAGGACUGGCAUCCUAUGGAGAACCAUUACUGAGCAGCCCUCUGUUUUGAAAGCUAGCAAGAGAAAACUAAGGCUAGACUAAAGAAUAUGUGGGUUUUCUGGGGCUGAAGAGGUGAGAGAAGCUGCAGUGCCUGAGACAGACAAGCUAUCAGUUCCAAAAAUAAGUUUAUACCUGUUACCUAGACCGUUCCUCCAUUAUUUGUUAUCCUAUGAAUUAAAGGUCAUAUUCUAAGUGGAGCUGACAGCUACUGUGAGAUAUAUUACCUGAAGUACAUAGACUGAGAAAAUGAAACAUUCAUUUGUCCUUAAUAAUCACAUUGUAAAUGAAUGGAAAGCUCAUUAAAUGAAUCUAUUUCCUGUCAAACCUACUGUGGACGUUUGCAUAAGCCGUAUCAGGGUUUUCUAUGACUUCCAUGUGAUGUUUAUUCAGCAAACAGGCCCAGUAUCUUUUCUGCAUUAUCAGUGGCUGAGAUGCAUCCAGUCUGUGAAACUCACUUUGUAAUCUUCCAUCAGUGUGCAGUGUUCCAGGUCUCCUCUGACUGUGGACAGAUUUUUGUGCCUGCUUUUAGCUUUGGCCCUCCAACGCUUGCCCUGUUGUAAGCCGAGUUAAAUAGGUACAAAAGGUGCCUGAAAAAAAGGAGGAAAACUGCGUAACAAAAUUUAUUGCCAAAGUGUAAAGGCUGAGCACAAAGCUGCAGUCAUCAAUGAACAGGUCAAGGAGGUUUAAACUUUUUACAGUUGUCUGAAAAGUGGGUAAUAUUACAGAGGAGACACUUAUGGAAAAGAACUAGGUGUCAGAAUAUUUCCUGGUUUUAUAGGCUACCUGUAGUCAGUGAUCUGUCAUUGGUUUGGUGAAGAUAAAACCAAUGGUCACAUCGUUAAAGUCACAGACGUUUACAUAGGUGAAAACUGCAUCAUCCUUUUUGAAAUAUCCACUGAGUUUUAUUAAUUUUUCAGUUCAGUAGCUCUGAAGCUUUUUGUGGGCUCCAGCUCAGAGGCUUGCAAUUCCCUUAUAUUUUUCUGACAGUUUAUUUUGAUAUUGGUGGUUGUUGAUGAUUGGCUUUUUGGUUUCAGUCUUUGUUUUUCUUUCUUUAAUCCAUGAGGUCAUUGACAAAGGAUUCCAGAGUUUGUGUGAGAACUGAAGAUCCUCAGAUGCAUACAGCUGUAAUGGAAAUCCCUUUGAAUUAAAGGAAUUGAAAAAAAUAGGUUGCUUAAUUGGGUGGGAGUAAAAAAGAAUAUUAAUGAUAUUACAAUAGUCAGGAAACAGGAACAAUUGCUGAUCUGGAGGGCUGCCCAGCACUUUCCUUAGGUGUUUCCUUCUUUAGGUGACAAUAUCCAAAACAGCUGUGAAAGUCUAAGGCACAGUCAGUACCUAAGUGGAAGAAAGAAAAUUACUUUAAAAUCUUAUUUUGUAACGUCUUAUUUGAUUUUUUUUGUCAUUGAAAAUAUUCAGGCUCAUCUUCUGAACUUUGUGAUUAAAACCAGAGACCAUAUCUGAUUAAGAAUUAUCUCUUCUCUCUUAUCAGUUCUUCUGGGGAAAGAAUAUAUUGAGUUCUCCUUUCCAAACAUUGUUUUUUCUUCAAGCCUGGUAUCUGAGAUCCAGAGGGGAUGAAUUUCCAGAAGGAAAAGGGAGAAGGAAAGCAUAGUGUUUCAAUACACUUAAAGAUGUUUCAUUAUCAUGAUAAAAGCACUCUGUAAACAUGAGAUUUUCUUGACUCACUCAGACAUCUCCAAUUAAUACAUUUUAUAGCUGUAUUUUGUCUCAUUCAGACCAGAUGCUGGCACAAUACCAUGCACUCAGAAUCUAACAAAACUGGUCAUGGAAGCGGUAGUUCAAAUUCUUCAAGCUUUCCUUUAUCUUGGAACAAGCCUAUAAAAUUCCUUUUUCCUCAGUGCCUGAUAAUACCAGUCAAAUUAAUAUAUUUUUUCUUGUAUUUAUUUUUUUCUCAAAUCCAUAAUUGGCAUAAAGGCAGUUAAAAUACCUUUUUUUUCUUUCUGAGCAGUACAGUCAUUAGCAAUUUUAAAGGAAUGUAUGUUUAACUUCUAAAUGUUUCCAGUCUGAUAUGUUUAUUCUCAAGGUUGUAAAAACCCAUACUUGUGAAGAGAGAGUUGAAUGUUAACAGCUGUCUUAAUACCAAAAUUCCAUUUUUAUUACAACAUAAGCCUAGUGUUCUGAAACCGAGGCAAUCCGUAGAAGAGCAAUCCUUCCGCACAAACUCCCGGAGGGGGAGGUUUCUAAAACAUGAACCAAAAUCAUAGGAGGCUCACUGGAAUAGGGCAGGCCUGCCCAUUGCUCCGUAUAAGCAAACAAGGUAGAGACUCGGAGGCUUUAUUUGGCAAGGUGCUCAUGCCUUGCAUUGCUGUUGUUUUCAGCAGAAGUAGUAGAUCCUCCACACUGUGUACAGGUGGGAUCGUAUCACUUAAGAGGCUGAAAAUCUAUGGAAAUUGUUAUUGUUUAGUGUGAUAUUCUACAGACCCAUUGCCCAGUCUUCAUAGUAGCUCUAGCAACUAUGUGAAAUGACACGUCUGAUAAGUUAUUUCCUCAGAAUAAUAUCUUCUGAUUUUUUUUCAAUGUUCACUUUAGAUAUUUGGAAUUAACAUUGCAUAGUCAUUCCUCAUUAUUAUUGCCACUUCUGUGAAGUAUUAGAAAAGGAUAAAUGCAAGGAUGCUGAAAAUCUGAAGAUCCCUUUUGCUAGACCCUUUAUGACUUUCUCAUCAUUUGCUAGGUUAUGAAUACCUCUGACUUACAAUAAUACCUUUACAACACCACCUUUGUCGGUGUUGUCAUGAUGUUAUUUUGACUUUGGUGUGGGGAAUUCUUUUUGCUGAUGUAAGUGUAGUUUGCGGAGAUUGUAUGAUGAAUGUAUGCUUUAAUGAUCCAUGCUAAUAAUAUAAUGAAUUAUUGUAAGACAGUAUCGCCUCCUUUCUAUGUAUAACAAUCAAACAGUGGAACCCCAAACAUCAUUUGGCUUUGAUUCAUGUUAACUGUUCCUUUUCUUAAUAUAAUUUUAAUCGCACUAUCAGUCUAAGAAAUAUGGAAAUCAAAACUAGGAACUCACAUUGCGACAACAAUUAUGUCUGUUUUAAUGAAAUAUAAAAGAAGAGUGAAGAGUGCAAGAAAACUUGUAAAGCAUCCUAUUUAUAUUACCAUAUAUAUUAUCCCAUUUUCAGAAAAGUAUGUAAAUGCAAUUAGGUGCAGUCAUUUCACAGAUACAAACAGCAUAGAGUUGCAGGUGUUUAUGGCUGACUAUUUCAUUGUCAGUCAGAAAAUAGGCAUGACAAAGUUCUCCUGCUUAUAGAAAUUAAUAUAAAAACAGUAGAAAUGCCUUUUAGUUGCUAAUAACACAGGUAAUUAAGAUUCUGGAAAAUGUCCCAGAGUUCUGGCCAGAACUGUUUUUUUGUGGUAGAAUGGAAUACACCAGUGAAGUCCUGAACAGCCUGCUCUUCAAGUGAGCUGCUAUAUAACUCACAAUCAAAUGGCAUCGCUCAUAGUUAAUUAAAAUAAAUUGUGUUAGCUUUCUGGCAUCUCUUUCUGCACUUCCACAUAGGGUUUCUUGUAACUUCAGUGAAACUAAGAGGGGAGCAGUCUGCCAAGGAAACACUAGAAAUAAGAAGUUCAUAAUAAUAGUGCUAUCUUUAUAUUUAUGAGAGAUACCAAGAGAAAAAAAAUACAAAAGAUAAAGUCUAAAGGAGUAAAAAAAUAGUUUAAGCCUGUUUCUGUUUUCAACUAACUUGUUAAAAGCCAUAAGCAAAACUGACAAAAGUUGCUGGAGGUAUUUGAUUGAAAAUUGUAAAGAUACUGAAAUGGAAAAUUACAGCACUCCUUUUUUAUGUAUACAGUUAAUCUUUGUUUCUCAGUCAAGUACAUGAAAAAAAAAAAAAUCCCUGUGAUUAAAGCAAACUUUCCAGUGAGAUUUUCAGUGUCUGAACCCUGCUGAAUGAUUUAACUAUGGGAUCCAAUCUUGGUCAAACUCUUCCCAUAGUGGUGGGAUUUUCUGGAGCUUUUCAAAGAUACUGGGUAUCCCUGCCAAGAAAAGAAUAAAUGGUGUUGUUAUUAGAGGCCUUUUUUUUCCCUCGUUUUUAUCACAAAUAUAUUUUUGAAGCUCUUCAUUAUCUAUUUUGCUAGUACACUGUUUGAAUGAGUUAUGGCUGAAAGUGCUAUCUAUAAAGAACUUGUGCUCUCAAAGCAGAGAUGACACAGCAGACAAAGGUCCAAAUUCUUCUCAAAGGGCUGUAAGAACUCAGUUUUGUAAAGACCUGACAGACAGAUUGUACCUGCCUAUUACAUUACUGCUCAUCAUCUGGGUCAAUAUAACUGCAUGAUACAUUCCUUUAUUCAGGACAAACCUCUGAUACUUAAGUUGAGCAGUACAACAGGGGUGAGCUCACACCUUAUGUGAGCAUAAGGUGAAAUUUAUCUCAAAUAAAAGGCAGGCCUAAUCAAAGUAAUUAAGGCUCUCUUCAGAGAGGGUCAGUGCAGAGAGACAGGCACCCUUGCCAUCAUUCAUCUCAUCCUAGACUGCUGUCCUAGGAUAAGCACGAUGAAGUCACUCUGGAAAAUUUCAUAGUGGGCUACUGUAAGUCAUUCAUGUGUCUGAGCCCUGAAACAGUUCUUCAGACUGGUCUGCAGCCUGCAGGGUGGAUAAAUUCCACCGAAACAACUGAUCUGUCACACAACUGGUCUGAUGCUCUGUUCCCAAAGUGUCCCUUCAACGUUGUAUUGGGGUGGGUGGACAGAGGUGGCUUAAUGAGUUAUUUCUGGCAUCUGAAGUUACUUCCUGAGGCCCCUUACCCUGUUAUGUCACCAAAAAUCUUGCAUUUCUGUUAGGCAGUAGAUGCAGCCAGACAUUUGAAAGGGGAUGUUCAUCUGCCCAACACACGUGCACUGUCUCAUCAUGUAUCAAGCU